rnacentral:misc_RNA from 1 species
GCCAUACUGCCAUCGCACCUCCUCGCGUCUCGUCUCACCGCUGGGCCGGGCGCCGUUAAACAUCUUGCAUCCACCAGCAGUCCAGCACGUUUCUCUGCGGGCGAGAAGAGCAGGGCUGGGCGCAUCCAAUACCGCGAUGCCGUUCUUGAGCCCCCUGGGUGGCGAAGACGCCGACGACUUCUACUUCGGCUACGACGCCGGGUACCACCGCAGCGGCGGCGCGGGCAAGAGCGCCAAGAAAGAGGAGAAGAAAAAGGAGAAGGGCUUCCUCUCCUGCCUCCCCUGCUUCAUCCCCUGCUCCCCCGGCGCCUCCGACCCCACGGCGCACCGCCGCCUCCUGUCUUCGGACUCAAGCGACAGCGACAACGCGGCGGCCGCCAUGGAUAUCACCGCCGACCUCGCCCGCCUCCGCGAGCGCUACUACCGUCUGGCCGCCGGCCCGCCCGUCCGCCCCCGCGACGUCCCCGGCCUGGUGGCGCGCCCCGACGACCCGCCGCUCGCCGUGUCCGCGCUCUCUUGGCUCGGCGGGGACCUCCGCCCGUCCUGCAUGCUCGUGGCGCUGUUGCCUGCAUUGUUCCCGUCCCUGCCCGUACACGCCCGCCACGCGCUCUCCGCCGCGGCCCGUCGCCUGAGCGCCCGCGAGGCCGCGCUAGACGAAGAGGUGGCCGAGUACAAGGCCACCUACGCCAUGAAGCUGGCGUGCGAAAAGACCAAGGACCGCGUCGCCGAGACGGCCGCCGAGGAGAUGUGCAAGAUGGCGCGCGCCGCGCGCAGGGCCGACAAGCUGCGGUGGCGCGCCGUGGAGGCCGCCGCCAGGGAGGUGCUCGCGCCUGCGCAGGCAAAGGAGUUCCUCAAGGCCGUCGAGGACGUGUCGGGCAAGGUGGCGCGGCACGGCGCCCGGUGGCGCGCGCGCGCCGGGACGCUCACGGUCCCCGUCGAGGCGUUCGAGCGCGUGCGCACCAACGCCAGAGCGGCUGCGGACGAUACAUGGUGACUGACUGACUGGUGAGGUGAGGUCUCUUUCUGACGAUGGCAGAUUGAGCCAUCUUCUUCUGCAGAAUUCACCCUGUUGUGGUCAUGGGUUGGUGUGGCUUACUAUGACUUGGAUUGCGUCAGAAAGGACGAUCAAAUGAACGUUGGUAUGUGGUCACUCCGUAACUGCAAAGGUUAAUUGGAUGUGAAAUAUGAUACGAAACAUGAAAUGAAAUACUACCG